UGAACAUAUCACGUUGAAAGACCUAUUUCCAUACGAUCACUAAAGUUAUGCAACGUCGAGCCUGGUCAGUACCAAGAUGCGUGACCACUUGGGGGUACCAGGUACCGUAAG